UACGAAGGGGGCUAGCGUUGCUCGGAAUUACUGGGCGUAAAGGGCGCGUAGGCGGGCUGUCAAGUCUGGGGUGAAAUCCCGCGGCUCAACCGUGGAACUGCCUCAGAUACUGACGGUCUCGAGGGAGGUAGGGGCGAGCGGAACUGUGAGUGUAGCGGUGAAAUGCGUUGAUAUUCACAGGAACUCCGGUGGCGAAGGCGGCUCGCUGGACCUCUUCUGACGCUGAGGCGCGAAAGCCUGGGGAGCAAACGGG
rnacentral:rRNA from 1 species